CCCCCCCAGCACGUUUGUUUCAAAGGAACAUGCCCUGUAGUGAGAUCCGCCAUUAAAGCUCACCUCCUUCUUCGUCGGAUAACAACCACCACUGAUUGUGUGGCUACAAAAUGUCUAUUAGGUGGGCCUUCUGAAUCCCAUCUGAUCACAACUAAUCAUCCGAGAGCUGAUCUGAGUUGUUGCGGUGAAACUCCAAUCAAGGCAGCGGCGGUCGCUGCACUGCACCAUCCGAGCCAAGCUAGGUAGCACAGGUGGCUUAAGUGAUAUGCAG